GAGAAACCACUUCCUGGGAUGAAAUGAAAGCCAGGCAGAGAAUCCCAUACCCAAAUAUAAUCUAAAGGGGUUAAACUGAGAAAAAGAACACCGGUGAGACAAAGGGAUUUAAACUGGAGGAACAAGGAAAGAAAAAGUGCAUUCCUACUUACCUCAAGGGUUCUGUGCAAUGAAGUAGAAAAAGAACAGAAAGAAUUUCAGAGAGACUCAUCAGCAUCAUCACAGGGAUCCUUGAUGAAGCAGAUGGAAAAUACAGCAUGAACCCUAAUAAAAAUGCUUCCUGUGCCAAUCCUGAGACCACAGUGACUGUGGAACCUGAAUUAACAUAUGUCAUGAGAGGAAAGGAAGCUGAACAAAGAGCACAGUGAAGUGACUUGGCCUGACCUCAUUUCCUUACCUCAUGAGGACUUCGUCUGAAAGGUGAGCCCAGCGCAGCUGUGCAUAGCCAAUCCUUGGGAAACACAGAAAAAGGAAGGAGCCACAUUCCACACAAGCCCAGUGACACUAGACUCUCAGGAAUUUCUUGAGUCAAAUCAACUGUUCCCCCACUUUAAGGAAAAGGUGAUUCGGGAAGACGAGAAGGCUCUCUGAUACUGCCUUUCUCUUUGGGUGACUUCCUUUGGUCAGUCUUCACCCUGAUCCAGCAAUACCUUCCGGACA
rnacentral:lncRNA from 1 species